rnacentral:rRNA from 1 species
GAGUUUGAUCCUGGCUCAGGACGAACGCUGGCGGCGUGCCUAAUACAUGCAAGUAGAACGCUGAAGAGAGGAGCUUGCUCUUCUUGGAUGAGUUGCGAACGGGUGAGUAACGCGUAGGUAACCUGCCUUGUAGCGGGGGAUAACUAUUGGAAACGAUAGCUAAUACCGCAUAACAAUGGAUGACACAUGUCAUUUAUUUGAAAGGGGCAAUUGCUCCACUACAAGAUGGACCUGCGUUGUAUUAGCUAGUAGGUGAGGUAAUGGCUCACCUAGGCGACGAUACAUAGCCGACCUGAGAGGGUGAUCGGCCACACUGGGACUGAGACACGGCCCAGACUCCUACGGGAGGCAGCAGUAGGGAAUCUUCGGCAAUGGGGGCAACCCUGACCGAGCAACGCCGCGUGAGUGAAGAAGGUUUUCGGAUCGUAAAGCUCUGUUGUAAGUCAAGAACGGGUGUGAGAGUGGAAAGUUCACACUGUGACGGUAGCUUACCAGAAAGGGACGGCUAACUACGUGCCAGCAGCCGCGGUAAUACGUAGGUCCCGAGCGUUGUCCGGAUUUAUUGGGCGUAAAGCGAGCGCAGGCGGUUUGAUAAGUCUGAAGUUAAAGGCUGUGGCUCAACCAUAGUUCGCUUUGGAAACUGUCAAACUUGAGUGCAGAAGGGGAGAGUGGAAUUCCAUGUGUAGCGGUGAAAUGCGUAGAUAUAUGGAGGAACACCGGUGGCGAAAGCGGCUCUCUGGUCUGUAACUGACGCUGAGGCUCGAAAGCGUGGGGAGCGAACAGGAUUAGAUACCCUGGUAGUCCACGCCGUAAACGAUGAGUGCUAGGUGUUGGAUCCUUUCCGGGAUUCAGUGCCGCAGCUAACGCAUUAAGCACUCCGCCUGGGGAGUACGACCGCAAGGUUGAAACUCAAAGGAAUUGAC